UACGUAGGGAGCACGCGUUGUCCGGAAUCAUUGGGCGUAAAGCGCGCGUAGGCGGCCCUGUAAGUCCGUUGUGAAAGUCAAAGGCUCAACCUUUGAAAGCCGAUGGAUACUGCAGGGCUAGAGUCCGGAAGAGGCGAGUGGAAUUCCUGGUGUAGCGGUGGAAUGCGCAGAUAUCAGGAGGAACACCAAUAGCGAAGGCAGCUCGCUGGGACGGUACUGACGCUAAGGCGCGAAAGCGUGGGGAGCGAACAGG
rnacentral:rRNA from 1 species